rnacentral:lncRNA from 1 species
GGAUGCUAUAUUCAAAGCAUGAGAUUCUAUUUUAUUCUUUCCAAAAUAUCUCUGGGCAAUGAAAUGGAAGUCAGGGUAUCUGAGGAAAUGAUCAUCUGUUUCCAAUUUUCUGGGAUUUGGUUUAAGUGGUCAAGUUGUGAUAUGUAUUAAUUCAUGGAUCCAAUAGGGUGAUAGUUCUUUUAGGUUACCUUAGGUGCCUUCAAACUGAGGUUGUUGGCUGUCCUCAGGUUUCUGAGGAGAACUAGGCAUAGUUAGUGACAUGGAGCCAUGACAGUUGUUGGUACACCUGCAACCCUAGUGCAGUCUUGACGAGGCAAUGUGUCUGUCCCAUUUCCAAACCUUCAGGCUCCAUGUGUACAUUUGAGAAUGGCUCCAGCCAUUUUCUCAUCCCUUGGAUCAUUCCCCUCAUAUGUCCUGUGAGACAUUUUCUAUGUGAGGCUUGAGGAAGAAGA